ensembl:snRNA U6 U6 spliceosomal RNA
UUGCUUUGGCAGCACAGAUACUACCACUGGAACAAUACAGAGAUUAGCAUGGCUUCUGUGCAAAGAUGACAUGCAAAUUCGUGAAGCAUUUCAUUAAUAA